UACGUACUGUGCGAACGUUAUUCGGAAUCACUGGGCUUAAAGGGUGUGUAGGCGGCUAGCUAAGUAGGGUGUGAAAGGCCUCGGCCUAACCGAGGCAUUGCGCUCUAAACUGACUGGCUUGAGUAAGACAGGGGUGUGCGGAACUUCCAGUGGAGCGGUGAAAUGUGUUGAUAUUGGAAGGAACGCCGGUGGCGAAAGCGGCACACUGGGUCUUUACUGACGCUGAGACACGAAAGCCAGGGUAGCGAACGGG
rnacentral:rRNA from 1 species